rnacentral:rRNA from 1 species
UGAGGAAUAUUGGUCAAUGGACGCCAGUCUGAACCAGCCCUGCCCCGUGCAGGAUGACGGCUCUAUGAGUUGUAAACUGCUUUUGUACGAGGGUAAACGCAGAUACGUGUAUCUGUCUGAAAGUAUCGUACGAAUAAGGAUCGGCUAACUCCGUGCCAGCAGCCGCGGUAAUACGGAGGAUUCAAGCGUUAUCCGGAUUUAUUGGGUUUAAAGGGUGCGUAGGCGGUUUGAUAAGUUAGAGGUGAAAUUUCGGGGCUCAACCCUGAACGUGCCUCUAAUACUGUUGAGCUAGAGAGUAGUUGCGGUAGGCGGAAUGUAUGGUGUAGCGGUGAAAUGCUUAGAGAUCAUACAGAACACCGAUUGCGAAGGCAGCUUACCAAACUAUAUCUGACGUUGAGGCACGAAAGCGUGGGGAGCAAACAGGAUUAGAUACCCUGGUAGUCCACGCAGUAAACGAUGAUAACUCGUUGUCGGCGAUACACAGUCGGUGACUAAGCGAAAGCGAUAAGUUAUCCACCUGGGGAGUACGUUCGCAAGAAUGAAACUCAAAGGAAUUGACGGGGGCCCGCACAAGCGGAGGAACAUGUGGUUUAAUUCGAUGAUACGCGAGGAACCUUACCCGGGCUUGAAAGUUAGCGACGAUUCUUGAAAGAGGAUUUCCCUUCGGGGCGUGAAACUAGGUGCUGCAUGGUUGUCGUCAGCUCGUGCCGUGAGGUGUCGGGUUAAGUCCCAUAACGAGCGCAACCCCUACCGUUAGUUGCCAUCAGGUGAAGCUGGGCACUCUGGCGGGACUGCCGGUGUAAGCCGAGAGGAAGGUGGGGAUGACGUCAAAUCAGCACGGCCCUUACGUCCGGGGCUACACACGUGUUACAAUGGUAGGUACAGAGGGCAGCUACCCAGCGAUGGGAUGCGAAUCUCGAAAGCCUAUCUCAGUUCGGAUUGGAGGCUGAAACCCGCCUCCAUGAAGUUGGAUUCGCUAGUAAUCGCGCAUCAGCCAUGGCGCGGUGAAUACGUUCCC